rnacentral:lncRNA from 1 species
GUCUGUUGCCAUCAUCACAGCAAUGCCAGGCGAUGACUUAACUUUAACUGUUGGCUUCCCUUUGUCAGAUGCUUGUCAGAAACUAGAGAUGCAUUUGAAGAGCACUGGGCAACCAGGUCACUACACCAACUCAGAGAUGGCCAAGAGAGACAUGCGUGUGGUGGAGACGGACUAUAAUCACUAUGCCAUCGUGUACAUGUUCAAGGACCAGGGUGGCGAGACCAGCG